AACGGUGGUCCGUACAAUUGGAAGGUGUGAACCGUGCCAGGUCCGAAAGGAAGCAGCACUAAGCACUGGAAGGUGUGUACGGAUCACUUUCAAA
rnacentral:SRP_RNA from 1 species